rnacentral:rRNA from 1 species
CCUACGGGUGGCAGCAGUGAGGAAUAUUGGUCAAUGGGCGCUAGUCUGAACCAGCCAAGUAGCGUGAAGGAUGACUGCCCUAUGGGUUGUAAACUUCUUUUAUAAGGGAAUAAAGCGAGGCACGUAUACCUUUUUGCAUGUACCUUAUGAAUAAGGAUCGGCUAACUCCGUGCCAGCAGCCGCGGUAAUACGGAGGAUGCGAGCGUUAUCCGGAUUUAUUGGGUUUAAAGGGGGCGCAGGCGGGUGUUCAAGUCAGUGGUAAAAUUGGGGGGUUCAACCCCGUAGUGCCGGUGAAACUGGCUGCCUUGAGUGCGCGAGAGGUAGGCGGAAUGCGUGGUGUAGCGGUGAAAUGCAUAGAUAUCACGCAGAACUCCGAUUGCGAAGGCAGCAUGCCGGCCCGCAACUGACGCUGAUGCACGAAAGCGUGGGUAUCGAACAGGAUUAGAUACCCCGGUAGUC